ensembl:lncRNA
CCUGCCUGGAGGGCGGAGCAUCGUGCUGGGAGCAGAACAGCAGCUGCUGUGAGAAUGAGGAAAGAACAAUGAAUUCUCAUUGGCGGCCUUGGGAAAGCCUGCCGUUUGAGCUGUGCCUUGGAAGCAUGCUAGUGGAAGAGAAAGGAAGGAGGAUACCGGAAAAGGUGGGGAAGCAUGAAGAGAAGCACGGAGGAGGGAAAGAGAGUGCAGUGUUAGGGAAAUGCCAGGAGCCAGGCUUGGCUGCUAUGCAGAACAUUUGGUGAAAAGUUGAAGAAGUUGGAAAGAAAGGCCAGAAAGAGAACGUCUUACAUGCAAGUUCCUGAAAUGACAGAGAGUGUACAGGUUGUCGCUGUGAAUGGCAAACCCCAAGGCUGGGCUCUCAGGUGCCUCCAUCAUUCAGAGGGGAGUCGCUGAGAGUUAUUUCUUCGCCAUUCCAGGAAGCCAGCUCUCUGUCUUCCCAUCCCCUUGUCUGCAGCCAGAGGCAAGAUUGUGGAGGUGGAUUCAGGAGACGGGGAUGACAAAGAUGGGUUUUAACAGCUGCCAGCUAGGGCCACCAGCCGUUGUGCUCCAGCAAUGACCUGCGAGCAGAAUUCUGAAAGCUGGACCUCCAGGUGACUCCUGGUGGCUAGAGUGGCUCUUUUUCAUGUUACAUCUGCCAACACCUAGGCCACAAAUUUGCCACUGCUCACACUUCUUGGAUGAAGGUGGCUGAAGCUGACUUCAUAGGAACCACUCUGUCACCUCCCAGCUCUUCGGCCUUCUGGGAGUCCUUUUCCUAUUCAUGGAAUGGCGUUUGAGUAGAAUCUUCCCUUGAACACCCACCAGCCAUGACUGUGCAACCAAAAGCAGCUGCAGUUGGUCAACUUCUCUAUCGAUGCUCUACUCAACUCAAGUCCUGACAAGUUUGGAGAAAUCUCAGUUUUGCCCAGUUCUCUGCUCUCAAACAUGUAUAUUGACAAGGACUCUGUCGAGAAAGCAAGACUUAGCCUUUCUAUAAGGAUUGUAGGGGUCUUAAAACAUCAUUUAUUCCAUAUCCCUGAAUUUCCAUUAUCUCAUACUCACAGAGACAGAACAUCACUUUCUUGACAGUAUUUUAAGUUCUGGCAGCUGCUAAUAAGUUCUCCCUCAUGCCCUUUACAAAGUGCUUUCACAUCAAUUACUUCUUUUCUGUUGACCCUUUGUGAGUUGAGAAUCAGGCAUUUAGUUCAUUAAGUUCUCCCUUAUUAUAAAAUUUCAUACUAUAAAUUUCUCUCUAAUUACUGAUUUACCUGAACCUCAAAAAAAUUGUUUAGUCAUUCUGUUAUAUUUAUUUCCAUUAUGGUUUCUCAUUUAAUCCAUAAAUUCAUAAUAUGAUUUUUUUUCAUUUCCAUAUCAGUUUCUUUUUUAGUUAUUGCUUCUUGCACCCCACUCCUUUCCCUGGGUUCAAUUCCAGUACUCCUUUUAGAGGUUCUUUCAGAAAGGGUCUAUGAGUGAUAAGUUUUCUCAUCAUUUAUGUGAAAUUGUUUUCAUUUUUCCCUCCCUCUCCAAUGAAAAGUUAACUAUGUGUAGAAUUUGAAGCUGGCAGUAACUUUGUCUCUCAAGACUUAGAAGAUACUUAUUCCACCAUCUCCUGGCCGUUAUUGUUGACAUGAAGAAGUCUGUGGAUUCUCUCUCUCCUUCUGACCGUAUUUAGGAUUUUUUGUUUAAAAACUUUAUCUUUGGUGUUUUUCAUUUUCAGUAUAAAGUGGCUAUGGUAUAUAUUUUUAAAUUUAUAUUAUUAUUUUUAAUAUUGCUUGGGACUCAAUGGGAUUCUUAAAUCUGAAGAUGUCUUACAUAAGUUCCAGAAAAUUCUCAGUCAUUAUUUUUGAAUGUUACCUAUUUUUUUUU